CCCUAUUAUUUUGGAAUGUUAAUUUUUGUGUACCUGAGUAGUAUUAGUUAUGUUCUUGAAACUUAAAGAAUUUGGCGGUAUCUCAUUCCUUCCAGAGGAAUCUGUCUCGUUAUCGAUAGUCCACGUUGGACCUUACUUAGUUGCGUUGGUUUGUAUACCGCCGUUUAUUGAUUAUCUUUUUAGGGUUUAUUAAAAUUUUCUGGUAUCUUUAUUUUGAUUUAUUUCAGGUCAAGGUGCAGCUUGUUUCUAAGUGGAAUGAUGGAUUACAUUAUAAUUUGUAUUUAUGGAUUGUUGAUUUUAAUAUUGGCAUGAAAUUGGAUUUGGUUGUAAUUAUUUUUAGAUUGUUAUUAUGAUAUUUGGUUCUGGGAUAUGCACACAUCGCCCGUCGUUCUCGUUUAUAGUUUGAUGAGAUAAGUC
rnacentral:rRNA from 1 species